GGGGCUGACUGGUUUCGACGCUGGGACCGUUGGCUUGUCGUGCGACCCGAGUUGCUCAGACUCGAUAAACGGGGCAAAAAAACAGGUGCCAAGACUGACACCGGUGGCUACGCUCUCGCGGCCUAAGAACCGCUAGGGAAAGCCCAAAUCGCGACCCGAGAGGGCACGCCGAGGACGACCCUUUGCCUUGGGAACAGAAUGAGGGUUGACAGCCGGGAAAGACCGCUGACACGUAGGGAAAGACCGACUGACCUCACGGAACAGACGUGACGAGUAGCACGUAACCCGGUACGAGGGCAGCGUUAGGCCCGAAUCACGGGAACGGUCGUAGCACGGGAAGUCUGCACCGAGCGGACGAGGGUUCGAUUCCCUCCAGCUCCACUC
rnacentral:tmRNA from 1 species